rnacentral:rRNA from 1 species
UACGGGGGGGGCAAGCGUUGUUCGGAAUUACUGGGCGUAAAGGGCGCGUAGGCGGUUUGCUAAGUUGGAUGUGAAAACUCUGGGCUUAACCCAGAGCCUGCAUCCAAAACUGGCAAACUUGAGUACUGGAGGGGAAAGCGGAAUUCCUGGUGUAGCGGUGAAAUGCGUAGAUAUCAGGAGGAACACCGGUGGCGAAGGCGGCUUUCUGGACAGUAACUGACGCUGAGGCGCGAAAGCUAGGGGAGCGAACCGG